GUGAGUAACACGUAGAUGAUCUACCAUAAAGUUGGGGAUAGCUCAUGGAAACAUGGGGUAAUACCGAAUAAGCUCUUAUUAUUUUGAUGAUAAGAGGAAAGGGGCGUUUGCCUCGCUUUAUGAUGAGUCUGCGGUACAUUAGCUAGUUGGUAGGGUAAAGGCCUACCAAGGCGACGAUGUAUAGCCGGCCUGAGAGGGUGAACGGCCACACUGGGACUGAGACACGGCCCAGACUCC
rnacentral:rRNA from 1 species